AAUAUUUUAAUGGAUAAUAUGGGAGCUGAGAACAUAGGGUUUCAUCACCAGCAAAAUUCUGAAACUGUUAAAAGUAAUUGCUUUUAUUGUCACCUUUAGUUUUAGAUAUUUAAGUUUUUAUUUUUUUGGCUUUUUCGGUUAAUCCCAUCUAUCUGCGCUUAUAGAGCACAAACAUGCUAUUAGCUUCAUUCCCUAAUUUGAGAAGGCACAAGCUAAGAUGAAAAAUGGAUGCACCAUCUUCAUUACACAAUUUCAAAAGGCAUUCUUACUCUCUUUCUUUAACCUAUAUUUUUUUGUGUUCUAUGAUUAUUUUUGUGUAAUCUUCCCACUUAAUGGUAUUGGCAUCAUAUUCAUGUGAUAAUUUAAAGAACUAUUAAAUAUUAUGUUUCUAAGUUGAGUUUUUAUUUAGUCUUAUGUCCCUUUUGGACGAGCUCACCUUUUCUAUUCGCCUAAACUCCUUCAUUUCAUGUCUAUGUAUUUUUUUAUACCUAGGUGAUUACAUAGUCAACUACGCCAUGUCACAUGCCUUACACAUGUGUCUUACUAAUGUCUUUAAAUAAAUGUGUGUUUGUGUGUGUAGAAUUAAAAACAGUUUCUAAAGAAUUAAAAAUAUAGUACUAGAGGAGGGGUGGAGAAGGCGGUGGUAGUGUAGGAGGAGUCGAGGAUCUGGUGCUGAUAGUGGUUAAGAUUCUGGAUAUAGGUCUAUCUAUGGUCGGGAUAUGGGUCACAAGUCAUAGGUUGUUGUGCAGAAGUCACAAAUAACUAUCCACAUGUCGCAAAUUAAGUAGAACUGGUCACAAAUUAUGUUUACAGUUCAUGUCAUACUUCACAAAUCAUAUGUCAUAUUAUAUAGGUCACGAUCAAAUUAACUGGUCAUAAAUCACAUGUCACAUCUUUAUUCACUAGCAGGUCAUAGAUUCUAGUUUAUAGGUCACAACUCAUAUGUUAUAUGUUAUAAGCAACAAUUCAGAAGUUAUAGGUCAUAUUUUAUAGGUAAUAGAUUAAUAUUUUCAUGUCAUAGAUCAUAUUGUGCCUAGGUUAGAGAUAAAUGUACACAGGUCAUGGAUUAUGUUUACAUGUCCUAGAUCAUAAUUCAUAGGUCAUAGAUCACCCCGCGUAUAUCUUAUCAUUGAGUCUUGGGGUGAACCAAAGGCAAGGGAAUGAAGACUCGGCUAAGUCGGGAGUGUAUCAUCAGAUUUGGCUACAAAGAAAGGAGCUCGAAGUGGACCGACUGGUCGAACAGAGAUGUAGAGGCAGAAGGCCAAGAGCCUAGUCGUGCAAAGAUCCAAGCAGUGUAUUUUGAUUCGACGAAACUGUAUAAUGAGAAAAUGGAGUUAAUUUGUUUACCUUCGAUUCGAACUUCUUUAAAGGUCACAGUUCGUAUGUUACAUAUCACAUACCACGUCAUAUUGUAUAAGUAAUAGAUAGAUGUCCACGUCACAAAUCAAAUAUAACUGGUCAAAGGACAUUGAUUUCUCUAACCUCAGUUUGGGAUCAUUGCCUUCAAAAAUUCUAAUACACA
rnacentral:lncRNA from 1 species